rnacentral:rRNA from 1 species
UCCAUCAAGACUCUAUAUCACUUUUGACCUCGGAUCAGGUAGGGAUACCCG